rnacentral:rRNA from 1 species
GGUUCUAUUUUGUUGGUUUCUAGGACCGCCGUAAUGAUUAAUAGGGACAGUCGGGGGCAUCAGUAUUCAACUGUCAGAGGUGAAAUUCUUGGAUCAGUUGAAGACUAACUACUGCGAAAGCAUUUGCCAAGGAUGUUUUCAUUAAUCAGGAACGAAAGUUAGGGGAUCGAAGACGAUCAGAUACCGUCGUAGUCUUAACCAUAAACUAUGCCGACUAGGGAUNCGNGANCGGUGUUAUUCAUGACYNCGUUCGGCACCUUACGAGAAAUCAAAGUCUUUGGGUUCCGGGGGGAGUAUGGUCGCAAGGCUGAAACUUAAAGAAAUUGACGGAAGGGCACCACCAGGRGUGGAGCCUGCGGCUUAAUUUGACUCAACACGGGGAAACUCACCAGGUCCAGACACAAUAAGGAUUGACAGAUUGAGAGA